rnacentral:rRNA from 1 species
UACAGAGACUGCGAGCGUUAUUCGGAUUCACUGGGCGUAAAGGGUGCGCAGGCGGCCGGGUGUGUUGGGCGUGAAAGCCCUGAGCUUAACUCCGGAAUUGCACCCAAAACUACAUGGCUAGAGCAUUGGAGAGGGUAGCGGAAUUCACGGUGUAGCAGUGAAAUGCGUAGAUAUCGUGAGGAACACCGACGGCGAAGGCAGCGCCCUGGACGAGACCUGACGCUCAGGCACGAAAGCUGGGGGAGCAAACAGG